UACGAAGGGGGGCUAGCGUUGCUCGGAAUCACUGGGCGUAAAGGGUGCGUAGGCGGGUCUUUUAAGUCAGGGGUGAAAUCCUGGAGCUCAACUCCAGAACUGCCUUUGAUACUGAAGAUCUUGAGUUCGGGAGAGGUGAGUGGAACUGCGAGUGUAGAGGUGAAAUUCGUAGAUAUUCGGAAGAACACCAGUGGCGAAGGCGGCUCACUGGUCCGGUACUGACGCUGAUGUGCGAAAGCGUGGGGAGCAAACAGG
rnacentral:rRNA from 1 species